rnacentral:rRNA from 1 species
AGUGAACGCUGGCGGUAGGCCUAACACAUGCAAGUCGAACGGCAGCACAGUAAGAGCUUGCUCUUACGUGUGGCGAGUGGCGGACGGGUGAGGAAUACAUCGGAAUCUACUUUUUCGUGGGGGAUAACGUAGGGAAACUUACGCUAAUACCGCAUACGACCUACGUGUGAAAGCAGGGGAUCUUCUGACCUUGCGCGAUGGUAUGAGCCGAUGUCGGAUUAGCUCGUUGGCGGGGCAAAGGCCCACCCAGGCGACGAUCCGUAGCUGGUCUGAGAGGAGAAUCAGCGAAACUGGUACUGGAACACGGUCAAGAAUCCUACGGGAGGCACAAGUGGGAAAUAUUGGCCGAUGGGAGCAAGGCUGAUUCAGGCAUAACGCGUGAGUGAAGAAGGCCUUCGGGUUGUAAAGAUGUUUUGGUGCGAAGGAAAAGAAGAAGGUUAAUACCCCGCUGUUAAGACGGUAACCAAAGAAAGAGCCCCGGCUAACUUCGUG